rnacentral:lncRNA from 1 species
ACCCGGCCCUCUGGGAGUUGAGCGAGAGCAGAGAAAAGUUGAAAAGACCGACAAAGACUGUGGGAAGUUGGCUUUUAUCCACACUAGGGACGGUCCCAGGAACGAGGAACUAGUUUGUGAAUGGCUCAAAGAAAAGCAAACCGAUGUCCAGGGGUCUUGUGCAGGACCUGAAAGUAUUUUCUUCCAUUUGUGUGUGAUGAUUGUUCAGGAAUAUUUUGGUGACUGUAAUCAAUGAGAGACUGAAGACAGAUCAACAUACAUCUUACCCAUGCUCUUUCAAAGACUGUGCUGAGAGAGAACUUGUGGCAGUUAUAUGUCCUUAUUGUGAGAAGAAUUUUUGCCUGAGACACCGUCAUCAGUCAGAUCAUGAGUGUGAAAAACUGGAAAUCCCAAAGCCUCGAAUGGCUGCCACUCAGAAACUUGUUAAAGACAUUAUUGGUAAGUAUCUAGAAAGCGUGUUUUGUUGCUUUCCUAGUUCCAGAGCUCCUGCUUCUUAUAUCUACUUUCCAAUUAUGGGAGGCAUCAUUAAUAACCCCAGUGGUAUUCGUAUUAACUUGUAUUUUGAUGA